GCCCAGUGAUGAGACCAAGGCGAAUACGAGCUUACUGAAUGAGAGUUGGGUUCUUCUUUGCCUUGACUGGCAGGUAAUCUUGGCAGUGCAGAGGAGUAUUCCUGCUCUGCUGUAAGGGCCUGCCUACAGUGACUUGGCUCGACCCAAAUUAUUCCUUUACAGUCACUGCGGAAUAUUUGCUGGGCUAAAGCUGACAGUGUGUGUGUGUGUGUGUGUGUUGUAUGUGUUGUGUGUGUGUGUGUGUGUGUGUAAGAGGCAAGAAGUUCACCCAACUCUCUUUGCUGUUCAGUUAGCAAUGAGUUGCUUCUUUGGUAAUCUGAGGGCA
rnacentral:snoRNA from 1 species